AAAACCCUGUUGUUAGAGAAGAAAGUGCGUGAGAGUAACUGUUCACGUUUCGACGGUAUCUAACCAGAAAGCCACGGCUAACUACGUGCCAGCAGCCGCGGUAAUACGUAGGUGGCAAGCGUUAUCCGGAUUUAUUGGGCGUAAAGGGAACGCAGGCGGUCUUUUAAGUCUGAUGUGAAAGCCUUCGGCUUAACCGGAGUAGUGCAUUGGAAACUGGGAGACUUGA
rnacentral:rRNA from 1 species